rnacentral:rRNA from 1 species
AGUGAACGCUGGCGGUAGGCCUAACACAUGCAAGUCGAACGGCAGCACAGGAGAGCUUGCUCUCUGGGUGGCGAGUGGCGGACGGGUGAGGAAUACAUCGGAAUCUACUUUUUCGUGGGGGAUAACGUAGGGAAGCUUACGCUAAUACCGCAUACGACCUACGGGUGAAAGCAGGGGAUCUUCGGACCUUGCGCGAUUGAAUGAGCCGAUGUCGGAUUAGCUAGUUGGCGGGGUAAAGGCCCACCAAGGCGACGAUCCGUAGCUGGUCUGAGAGGAUGAUCAGCCAAACUGGAACGGAGACACGGUCCAGACUCCUACGGGAGGCAGCAGUGGGGAAUAUUGGACAAUGGGCGCAAGCCUGAUCCAGCCAUACCGCGUGGGUGAAGAAGGCCUUCGGGUUGUAAAGCCCUUUUGUUGGGAAAGAAAUCCAGCUGGUUAAUACCCGGUUGGGAUGACGGUACCCAAAGAAUAAGCACCGGCUAACUUCGUGCCAGCCGCCGCCGUAA